UUUAGUACCAAUUUUAUGUACCUACUAAUAAUUUAGUGUACNAAUAACCCAUAGAAUGUAACUACUUACUCUUUCAUGAGGCAAGUUGUCACCUUUUGGUGUGAUAUGAAUAACAAACAUUUUAAACCCCCCUUAGACGUGCAAUCGAAAUCUGCUCAGAAUUGUUUUUUUAAAAGUAAUAUUUUAUCGUUGCUUACAGGUGUAUAUUAAAUUAUCUAUAACAGUGCCUGCUAUACCAAUUAAUUUUAUACACUGGUGUAUAAAUAUUAUAUAAUAAUUAAUUUUAUUAUCCAAUUUUAUGGAACGGUAUUUAAUAUGAAGUGGUUUUCAAUAGCUAUAAACUGUAUAAAUCCUCUCCGGAUAUCGUGGAAAAAUUUCAUCAAGAUUCAUGAAGAUUGGAUGAAUAGUGUAGAUAUCCAUAAAGGAGAAUUGAAUGUUAUUCAUAUCACACCGAAUUCAAAUACCAAAUUUGACUUUGCAUAUUUUGCAUAUUCGGAGGAUUGUUGCAUGUUAGUUCAUAAAUGCAUAUAACAUGUAUUUAUUAUUGGUAAAUCAAUUUUACUAUAAAAAAAAAGUUGUUAACAUUGAUUUUCAGAGGAAUUUUGUUAAAAUAUUGUUAUAUUUGCCACAGUGUAUGAAAAUAGAGUUCUAAUUUAUGACUCACCGUCACGUGUAUCUUAGUGUUAUCAACUUAUGAAUUAAUUUAUCAUUCUUGUCGUGUAUGAUGUGUCGUUAUAUUUUAAAAUCAUGUGUGGUAAAAAUCAUGUGAUUUUAGUUUUAUUAUUUUGAAAGUUUAUUGUUAGGUUUUCAGAUAUGUUAUUUUAAAUAAUAUAAUACAUAAUAAAUUGUUAUUAAAUUUAUUACUAUUCUUGGUGUAAUAGUGGUGUUUUAUUUUUUUAAAUAAAUAUUCCACCUUUUGUCACUUAAUUAAUAUAUCCUGUAUUUCACAUAUCAUCACUAAUGAGACACGAUCAAUUACUUCAGCAAUAUUAAUGGAAGGCGGGGUUAUAUGAUACAAUAUGGAUAUUUAAUUCUUAUCAUUUUCAUAUAAGCGAUUACUCCAUCUUAUAGAGCCACAUCGUAAUCAGUAGUCACAUUUAGAUAAAAACUUUAAUUGAGAUAAAUAUAACCUAAUUUUAUACAAUAUAUUAUAUUAAACGUGGUCAGUAAAAAGGUGACAACUUGCCUUAUGAAAGAGUAAAUAGUUACAUUCUAUGGGUUAUUUAUACACUAAAUUAUUAGUAGGUACAUAAAAUUGGUACUAAAAUUAUGUACCAAUAUUGUAAACAUUUGAUCAUAUUUAACAAAUUUUAAUUUCUUUAAUUAAGAAAUUAAUAAUAAGAAUCUAUUAAUUAAGUGAAAGGAUGUGCACUAUUAAAUCAAAAAUGCAUAGAUUCAAUUUUUAGAAAUGAUAUAUAUUUCAUUUUUAUUUUUCAUAGGUAUGUAUUUUUAACGCAGUUUUUAGGGGGGACAACAACAUGAGCACCCUGGUGGUGAAUAAGUACACAGCUUUUUCUUUGUACGUUCACUAAAACAGUCUGCGGGGCCUAUUAAUGGGGUUACUAUAAUACAGUCAUCGCCACAAUGGCCUUCGCCAUUCGUUGAAAAUACAUACAGUAAUACAAUAUAACACAGCGAACUAAUAAUAAACAUCAACUUCAUUAUAAUACGUGACGAAUAAUGUUACCAAAUUAGUUUAUUUAAUUUCUUGUAGUUGAAACAAUUCUGAUCCAAUUGAACGGACGUUGAAUGAAGUUUGACGCUGGUCAGUAAAGAAACGAGAAUCCCUGUUUGAGAUUACGAAUUGAUGGGAUGUUACCGUCUCUUUGUAAAACUGGUUCAGUAUAAUUAUAGUUUUCAAUGCAGAUUACGGGCUUAUGUACCGUAACAAAAGAAUAAAUCAUCGAAUUCAUCUAAAUUUUAAUAGUGAGUUGCAUUAUUUACAGAAAUGUGUUAAUUAUACACAAUUAUUUGAAAAGCGGAUAUUUCC